rnacentral:pre_miRNA from 1 species
NGAAACUUGGAAACUACCGUUGGAUCGAGAAAGACGUCCGAGAUUCGUCUACGUCACCAUGAGUUAAAAUUUAACUCCCAAUAAAAUUUUAACUCAUGAGUGAAUCCGCGAGUUAAAUUUUAACUCAUGGUGACGUUUACGAAUCUUGAACGUCUAUUUCUCGAUUCAGUGGUAGUUUCCAAGUUUCC